rnacentral:rRNA from 1 species
CGGGACUGAGAGGUUGACCCGGCGCAUCGGGACUGAGACACUGCCCGGACUCCUACGGGAGGCUGCAGUAACGAAUAUUGGUCAAUGGGCGAAAGCCUGAACCAGCGACGCCGCGUGUGGGAGGAAGCCCUUCGGGGUGUAAACCACUGUCAGGGAUUACCAAGCAAUGGAGGCUAAUACCCUCCUGCGUUGAGGCGUCCCAGAGGAAGUCACGGCUAACUUCGUGCCAGCAGCCGCGGUAAUACGAAGGUGGCGAGCGUUGUUCGGAAUCACUGGGCUUAAAGAGCACGUAGGCGGACUGCCAAGCGUCUUGUGAAAUCCCCCGGCUCAACCGGGGAAUUGCUGGGCGAACUGGUAGUCUUGAGGCAAGUAGGGGCAGAUGGAACUCUUGGUGGAGCGGUGGAAUGCGUAGAUAUCAAGAGGAACGCCAGAGGCGAAGGCGAUCUGCUGGGCUUGACCUGACGCUGAGGUGCGAAAGCCAGGGGAGCAAACGGGAUUAGAUACCCCGGUAGUCCUGGCCAUAAACGAUGUCCACUAGAUCGGUGAACUUCUGACAGUGUGCCGGUCGAAACAAAAGCGUUAAGUGGACCGCCUGGGGAGUACGGUCGCAAGGCUAAAACUCAAAGGAAUUGACGGGGGCUCACACAAGCGGUGGAGCAUGUUGCUUAAUUCGAUGCAACGCGAAGAACCUUAUCCUGGGCUUGACAUGCUUGGAUGCCCAUCUGGAAACAGAGUAGGCUGCCCUUCGGGGUGAAACUUGCACAGGUGCUGCAUGGCUGUCGUCAGCUCGUGUCGUGAGAUGUUGGGUUAAGUCCCGUAACGAGCGAAACCCUUGUCGUUAGUUGCCAGCGCGUAAUGGCGGGGACUCUAGCGAGACUGCCGGUGUUAAACCGGAGGAAGGUGGGGAUGACGUCAAGUCCUCAUGGCCUUUAUGCCCAGGGCUGCAAACGUGCUACAAUGGCGAGGACAAACCGACGCAAAGCCGCGAGGUCGAGCAAAUCGGAGAAACCUUGCCCCAGUUCGGAUUGGAGUCUGCAACUCGACUCCAUG